ACAUAGUUCAAUUGAGAAUCAAUCUCUGGGUGAGCCCGCUUGACUAGAUAUCAGAGGUGAAGGCUGUUGACAGCAUGCUUUCUCUUGAUUGACCGAAGCUGGAAAAGAAAAAGAGGUGGUUAGUUCUGGUCCUUAUUCCUGUCACUGACUUCCAUGCAGUAUUCCUUAUGAUAAAGCCAGAAACAACUCCAAGAAAAUUAAGGUGGCUACAUAGAACCUCAGCUAAAAAAGAUUUCCAGAGCUAUCAAAAAUAUCUUAUAUUGAAACAGUGGAUUCAGUCUUAGGAGGAAGAGCUGAAGCCUGGAUUCAUCCUGUAUCUGUGGGCCUGAGCAAGACCAUCCCUGAGUAGGACAGCUAGCCACCCACUAGCUCAUUCUGCCAGCCUGGAGGACCCAGCCCAUGUGUCCUACACACCAGGUAUGUCAAUGCUCUUAGUCUUCCACCUUCUCAGAACUAGGGGGAUGUGCAUGAAUGUAAUUUGAAAUUGUGAAGCACCAUACAAAGGAAAAAAGCUGCCAUCUUCCCCUGGACAUAGAUGAGAGGUAAGUGAGUCAUCUCUGAGAAUUUUCUCCUUAACUCAAACUCUUAAACUAAAUUUUAAUGAAGUUGGACUCAAAUUUUUGAAUCAUAUUUUUAACACCACAUUCUUUUACCACUGAGUUUAUUAUGUGUUGGUUCUUCUUAUUCAAACCUUUAUUUUUAAAAAAAUCUCAGUAAUCUGAUGAAUCUCUAAAAUAUGAAGAAAAAAUAAGUGUAGUAUUGGACAAAAUUUAAUAAUGUGUAAAUAACCAGGAAAAAAAUUGUAGGAAAAACAUAAUUACUUGGUUGUAAGGUAUAAAAAAUCCGAGUAUAACCAGGGACAAUAAGGGAGAAUUUAUGAUUCUUACAAAGUCAGAUACAAUGAUUUUGAUAAAGAAAUUUGAAAUGGGAGUUCCCGUCG